UCCCUGUUACCAGGGCAGUCUAGCCUGAAAAAUACAACAGACUACAAGGGUUGCGCUCGUUGAUGGACUUAACCAAACAUCUCACGACACGAGCUGACGACGGCCAUGCAUCACCUGUCACUUGGCUCAAUAAAGCACACUCUACUUUCGCAGAGCUUCCAAGGAUGUCAAGCCUGGGUAAGGUUCUUCGCUUACCAUCGAAUUAAACAACACGCUCCACCGCUUGUGCGGGUCCCCGUCAAUUCCUUUAUGUUUUAGUCUUGCGACCGUACUCCACAGGCGGGAUGCUUAACGCGUUAGCUUCGCCACUACCGGGGUCGAUACCGGUAACGGCUAGCAUCCAUAGUUUACGGCGUGGACUAC
rnacentral:misc_RNA from 1 species